GCUCUGAGGCGCUGCCUGGGCGCGCGUGUCGGGAUGUUCCGGGGCCGCAGCGCCUGGUUCUCGCAGAGCGUCAGCCGGGAGCUCCGCGAUUUGUGGGGGCUCUUAAAAUCAAUUUACUUACUCCACUUCCGUUGAGGAGAUUAGCACUGAAAUCGGCCUCGCUGGGUCGAAUUUUGGGUAGUGUGGAUGCAAUUUGAUGGUAUUGGCUUCCAGGAGCUAUGCCACAGUGCUCCACUGUGACUGCUCUGGACAGCGCUCUCACCUCAGAUGCAUUGGCCAGGUAGACAGGAAAAGUCCCGUGAACUUUUGAAUUUCAUUUCCUGUUUUGCCUGCAUUGUGAGCUGAUCAGGACAGGUGACCAUGCAGAGCUCAUCAGCAGAGGUGACCAUGGAGUCCCAGAAUUGCAAAAGAGCUCCAGCAUGGACCAAACUGGAGGUACGGGAUCUGAUCGCUGUAUAGAGAGAUGAAUUCGUGCUAGCUGAACUCCGUUCCAGUAAACAAAAUGCCAAAACAUUUGAAAAAGUCUCCAAGGAUAUGAAGGACAGAGGACUUGCAGCAGUGCUGCGUGAAAAUUAAGGAGCUCAGGCAAGCCUACCAAAAAACCAGAGAGGCAAAUGGCUGCUCCGGGUCACAGCCCCAAAGAUGCCGUUUCUAUGAUGAGCUGCGUGCCAUUCUAGGGGGUGCAGCCACCAAUAUCCCAACCCUGUGCUUUGACUCCAUGAGUGGAGUAUGAUGCAACACGGGAGCGGGUUUUGGGGACUAGGAAGAUGAUGAUGAGGUUGAUGAUAGCUCACAGCAAGGAAGCGAAGAAACUGGUUUCUCCAACAGCCAGGAUCUGUGUCUCACCCUGGACCUGGAGCCAGUAACCCCCGAACCCACCCAAGGUGGGCUCCCGGACCCUGUAGGCAGAGAAGGGACCUAUGCUGCAUAUGUUUCUCCUUCCCAGAGGCUAGUGAAGAUUAGAAGGUGAAAAAAAUGCACUCGAGAUGAAAUGUUCUCUGAGCUCAUGUGUCCCAUACUGACAGAGCACAGCAGAAUGCGUGGAGACAGACAGUAUCAGAGUGCAGGAAAGCACAAUAUGAACACGAGGAGAGGUGUCGGGCUGAAGGUGAUAGGUGGCGUCAGCUUGCUGACAGAAGGCAGGAGUCAAUGCUCGGGCUGCUGAAGCAUCAAACUCAUAUGCUCCAGCGUGUGGUUGAACUGCAGGAAAGGCAGCAGGAGCGCAGACCGUUGCUACAGCCCCUGUGUAACCAACCGCCCUCCUUCCCAAGUUCCAUAGCCUCCUCACCCCGAUGCCCAAGAACGUGGUGGGGAAGCCUCCAGCCACUCCACCCCAGAGGAUUGCCCAAGCAACAGAAGGUUGGCAUUCAAUAAGUUUUUAAGUUUUAAAGUGCAGUGUGGUCUUGUCCUUCCCUCCUCCCCUACCUCACCGGUGCUUCCUCCUCCCCCACCUCUCCUGGGCUACCUUACAGUUAUCCCUCUAAUUGUGUGAUGAAUUAAUAAAGAAUGCAUGAAUGUGAA